AAUAAAUAACUUUUUAUUAAAUUGUAAAAAAAUAAAAUCAUUUGUUUAAUUUCUUCCGUAACAUUGGAAAUACAUGUAUAGGUUUGGUUUGCAGUAUGUGCGUUAGAAGGCGUUCAGGUGGUGCGAACAAGAAUAAGUUGACGGUGGAAAGCCAAUUAGGUCGUUAGUGUUGGGAAAUGAACGGUAUGAGAGUGGAGCGUAUAAAAUAUAGCGAGUACAAUCUUAUGUGAAAUUAUCGACAUAUGUUAAUGUUAAAAAACAUGUAUAUAGAUACAUUAUAUUUGCAUAUUAGUUGUAAUCCCACCGGAAAUUUGUAGCAACACGUGGUUGCAGGAAAUGAUUGUCGAGUAUUUCGGUUGGCACGUGGAAAAGUGAGGUUACGAUGGCAGACACGUAGGGCAUAAAUGAUAUAGAAAAAUUGGAUUAUGCUAUAGUUACUUACUUUGGACGGAAAAAAUUGAGGGUAUCCUGCGAGGCAAAAGUUGUGGAAGAAGGUGAUAAAUGUGAUAGCUCGUAACCAACUAGAGGAAGGAGAAUCGCAAUACGAAGAAAAAUUAAAAGUAUGGAACGCAUUGGGCGAUGACAACUAUGUAACCGGGACGCUGACAACGAACACAAUGGGAGAACAUGGCUGCGAUUACGGAAUAAACGAUAUAGGGAGCAUUGAACAAAUUGACAAGUAUAUGCAUGAGGAAAGAAGAAGGCAUGAAUAAAUUUAUCAA